rnacentral:rRNA from 1 species
CGGCGGCCGUAACUAUAACGGUCCUAAGGUAGCGAAAUUCCUUGUCGGGUAAGUUCCGACCUGCACGAAUGGCGUAAUGAUGGCCAGGCUGUCUCCACCCGAGACUCAGUGAAAUUGAACUCGCUGUGAAGAUGCAGUGUACCCGCGGCAAGACGGAAAGACCCCGUGAACCUUUACUAUAGCUUGACACUGAACAUUGAGCCUUGAUGUGUAGGAUAGGUGGGAGGCUUUGAAGUGUGGACGCCAGUCUGCAUGGAGCCGACCUUGAAAUACCACCCUUUAAUGUUUGAUGUUCUAACGUUGACCCGUGAUCCGGGUUGCGGACAGUGUCUGGUGGGUAGUUUGACUGGGGCGGUCUCCUCCUAAAGAGUAACGGAGGAGCACGAAGGUUGGCUAAUCCUGGUCGGACAUCAGGAGGUUAGUGCAAUGGCAUAAGCCAGCUUGACUGCGAGCGUGACGGCGCGAGCAGGUGCGAAAGCAGGUCAUAGUGAUCCGGUGGUUCUGAAUGGAAGGGCCAUCGCUCAACGGAUAAAAGGUACUCCGGGGAUAACAGGCUGAUACCGCCCAAGAGUUCAUAUCGACGGCGGUGUUUGGCACCUCGAUGUCGGCUCAUCACAUCCUGGGGCUGAAGUAGGUCCCAAGGGUAUGGCUGUUCGCCAUUUAAAGUGGUACGCGAGCUGGGUUUAGAACGUCGUGAGACAGUUCGGUCCCUAUCUGCCGUGGGCGCUGGAGAACUGAGGGGGGCUGCUCCUAGUACGAGAGGACCGGAGUGGACGCAUCACUGGUGUUCGGGUUGUCAUGCCAAUGGCACUGCCCGGUAGCUAAAUGCGGAAGAGAUAAGUGCUGAAAGCAUCUAAGCACGAAACUUGCCCCGAGAUGAGUUCUCCCUGACUCCUUGAGAGUCCUGAAGGAACGUUGAAGACGACGACGUUGAUA